rnacentral:lncRNA from 1 species
GGAAAUUAAGGCCGACCAAACUGUCCUUCUGGAGCGAAGUGAAAAACUGGCCGGAAAAGGCUCCACGCGCCGGCGCGUGGUCUGACGCGCCGACAGCCGUGGCGGCCCGUGUGGAGGUAUCUGCCGGAGAAAUUUCUGGGGAUUAGUCAGAAUUAUAUUCCAAGUCUUGUGGUGGUGUUGGUUUUUGCACAACACUGAUAAUUAGUGACUUUGACGCAAUUAGUCACUUAGGUCACCGGAAAAUUGCACGGUGACCGAGUUA